rnacentral:piRNA from 1 species
UGGCACAAAUACUUGGAAGGUGUGAGU